rnacentral:tRNA from 1 species
GAGGAUAGAGCUCAGUGGUAAAGCAUAUGCUUAGCAUGCAUGAGGUCCUGGGUUCAAUCCCCAGUACCUCCA